CACAUUACUGUGAAGGGACACAGCGUUAGGGUCCCCAGCCCUGGCUUCCACCCCAGGCUCAGAACUGCAGAGAUUGUCAUUGCAGCAGAACUUGAGCGUGAACAGCAAAAUUGUCCUCCCACUUUCCCUGCACUCGUGAGACAUGUCUGCUCCUGGCAGCACCAGUCUACUUCAGAAAAGAUGAUGGGCAUUGAAGAAACUCCUUAUGGAGUUUACUUUCAUUGUGGCAAUAGUUAGCCACUGGGCAAGAAAAUACACUUAACUCAACUGCUGAACAGUAUGCUGCCCAAAAUGGACAAGCAAGACACAAAAGAAAAGACUGCUGAUCAUUGCCAAGACAAGAGGUUGGAGAUCCUGGAAAGGCCAGUUUCAGACUAAGUAGCUUAGGAGACAGGGGCUGAGAGAAGGCCUAGAACCAGAAGAAACCAGAACAACUGGCUCCUUGUAUGCGACAUGCCUGACAGCUCCCGGGGCUCUUCCCAGGUGGAGGAUACUUUCAAGUCAAGUAUUAUAAAAGAACUGUCGAAAAUAUCUUCAUGCUGAAGAAGGCUCUGAAGGUGCUGUUGGCCUGCUCAGAAAUCGUUGAGGAAGAGGAAACUCUGUGUGGCCAGGUGAUAGCCUUGCACUAGAAGAUUGAGGUCCUGGCUCUGUGGAGCAGCAGGUAGGUGACAAAAGCUACAGACAGAACAGUCACGGAGCAGACAGGGAUAGCUAGCAGGACCUAGGCUGAUCAGUGUACCUCAGGGUCACUUUCCUGAGUCAGUCAUCAGUGACAUCUGAACAUGGGAUUUUGACUCAGGCACAGAGGUAUGUGAGUGUGUCUGGGUAUGGAUGGGCCUCCCCUUCCAAAUCCCCUCCUCUCCUUCCUUCUACUCCACUCUUUCUCUUUGUUUUGAGGCAUGGUCUUUAUUUUAUUUAUUUAUUUAUUUUUAACUUCAACAUUGUCUGACUGAUCUCUGGAUCCUGUUUGGAAGCAUCCACAUUGUAUCUCCUGUCAGUCUGUACAGGCCUAAAAAAAAAACCCAUGCCCUACCCUGCUGCCUCCCCACUUCUCACUGCCAUGAAGAAAGUCCUUGGCUGGGACUUUGGUGACCCAUGGGAAAGAGGCCUCUGCACAGCCAUCUUAGCUGUGUCACAUGUCUGUCUUCCAUUACUACAUUAGCACUCAAGAGACCAGUGCCACAGUUCCAAAGUUCACAGAAGGAAACUGGCAGCUCUUCAUCUCUUUUAACAGCAUGAGCUUGGCUGCUUCCUGAUUCUGUCUGUCUCCCCUCUCUUCCUUCCUCAUCAGGCCCCCGAGAAAAGCAAAGAGAAGUAAGGUUGCAGAGCAGGUAGUCCUGGCCACACCGCAUCCUGCAACAAACAGCUUCUAAACCUUCAGAUCCAGAUCCAGGGUUCUCUUGAGGUAAAAUCAGCACAAAAGAUUGCACAGUUCCAGGAUCAAAAGGUGCUAGGAAACACGGUCUGCAUGCUCCCCGCUUUCCCUCUGCCACUGCAGACUGCUCCCCGACAUCUAGGCACCGAACGCCCCUCAAAUUAAAGAUGCUCCCGUG